rnacentral:rRNA from 1 species
AGUGAACGCUGGCGGUAGGCCUAACACAUGCAAGUCGAACGGCAGCACAGUAAGAGCUUGCUCUUACGGGUGGCGAGUGGCGGACGGGUGAGGAAUACAUCGGAAUCUACUUUUUCGUGGGGGAUAACGUAGGGAAACUUACGCUAAUACCGCAUACGACCUACGGGUGGAAGCAGUGGAUCUUCGGACCUUGCGCGAUUGAAUGAGCCGAUGUCGGAUUAGCUAGUUGGCGGGGUAAAGGCCCACCAAGGCGACGAUCCGUAGCUGGUCUGAGAGGAUGAUCAGCCACACUGGAACUGAGGCACGGUCCAGACUCCUACGGGAGGCAGCAGUGGGGAAUAUUGGACAAUGGGCGCAAGCCUGAUCCAGCCAUACCGCGUGGGUGAAGAAGGCCUUCGGGUUGUAAAGCCCUUUUGUUGGGAAAGAAAAGCAGCAGGUUAAUACCCCGCUGUUCUGACGGUACCCAAAGAAUAAGCACCGGCUAACUUCGUG